GACACAUUGGCAUUAACAGACGCUUACUUGCCCAGAAUAACGCAGUGACCCCACACCAGCAUACUAGCAGAUUACCCCUCGAUGUUCCGAGCUUUGUCCCCCAAAACCUAUACGCACAUUUGCUAAUAUGCAAAGCCCUCUUCAACCUAGGAUAAAUUCUAAAAUGUGGACCAUCUUCAGCUUCAGUUUGAGAACACCUGUCUCUCACACAAACAUCAAUGGACGCCAUUGGUGCUAAGCUGAACUGAGUUAUCUAUCUGGGCAGGUUAGGGAAGCGUUUUUAGAUCCGGAUUGUAUCCGACGACGUCACACUCGAAAGGAGACCCACUGAAAUUAAUGGACUUGUUUUUAACGAAGCCGAGGCGACGGGAGAAGUAGAGGCAGCCUCUUAACCAGGGUCCGAGGGGUGAGGCAACCAUCUGACUAGGGUUUCUUCCGAUCUAAGCUAAACACACCCCGGAUAAAUCAAUACCAGCGUCCAGCGUGGACAGAGUAACUGGUUUUCAAAUGCAAGUCGAGAAAAAAAUAUUUAGGAAGAAGUGCUGGGUUGUUCAGCCACAAUCCUAGGCACACUUACCUGGCAGUAAGUCCUAUUGAAAUCAGUGGGACUUACUUCCGAGUAAACGUGGCCUCAGGAUUGAGUUGUGAGACUGAGACUGGCCAGGCUACCUGUGACUUGCAAGGGAUCUUAACUAAACACACACGCAUGGUGGUAUUGAUAUUUAUAAUUACUUUGACCCCCCCUUAUUUCCUCUCGAAGGACCCCAGGGAGGCCUACCACAAAAUAUAAUAGUGAAAUCAAAUUUAAAACAUUUUCAAAAUAGAGCAUCAGUAACGCCUCUUUGGGUCAGACCAACUCCUGUAACAACCUUUCAGUUCGAAGAGGGAGUCACCGGAGAGGCGCAAAGCAUGAGAACAAUGCCCUUCUCCGUUGGUUUCUCCUAAGCAUGAUGUUAUUCAGUGAUAUACUUCUCUUGAAUAUGGAGGUUUGGUCGAACGAUUAUGAAAAACAUCGACAGACCAUGAAUUUAUCGAGCCCCGCAAAAAAAGCAGUCAGCUUGUAGUGUAAGGACGUGGCCAUGAAUGAGAGAGGGAGCGUGCAAGCCUAACCAUGUUUUACUGAAGAAGUACUACUGAAAUCAAUGGAUCCUGCUACCAGGUAAGUGAAAGUAGGAUUUACUUGGGAGUAAGCUUCGUAGAUCAUAGUGGGAGUCACUUCUGAGUAAACAUUGAUUGGAACAAUUUCCCAAGUCUUGACAAUCCAUUUAAGUGAAGAGUUUUUUCAACAAAUUAAGGAGGAACUAUUAAUAUCCGAAGUAGCUAACUGCUUUACUUUUUUUUUUUAAAGGAAGGAGUAUGAGAGCUCGUUCCGUAAGUAGGAACUGUGGUAAUAUUUAUUUAUUUAGAAUUAUUAUAUACCGCUUUGUAUUGGGGGGGGGAGGAGAUCCAAAGUGGUGUACAAAAGAGUAACAGCAGCAAGAAGAGAAACAUAACAAAACAAUAACACGAAUGCAUGAAACACACAGCCAGAUUCAUUAUAAUAAUGUGCAUUUUCAAAUUUGCUGUGGAAAUCUGCACUGUAAUUGGAAAUAAUAAGUUGUUAGGAAGUUAAGGAGGGUGGUUGUAAAGGUACCUAGAUCUUUAUCCUAAAUCGCUUUCAAAAUUCUCAUUGAUUUCAGUGAAAUUUAAUUCCACACAUACACCCCAGUUUAGAAGGAAGAAACUCCGAAUCUAUUUAGCUAUGCGAGGUGAGUAGGGUUGCCCUCUUCACAGACAAAGCGAAGUGGGUUUCACUGCCACGCGAUCACAUUGAGGGCCAGUAAGCUUCUGAAUUCAUUGACCCCUCGAUAAGCUUAUAAAGUUGCCAUGGUCCCCGACCCAAACUGUUAGGAAUGUAAAUGAAAUAAGAAAUAUCAAUAUAUAAUCGACAUUUAUUAGUCAUUUAUCACCAUUACUAGGAAUCAUAAAACGCUUUAAAAGAUGGUGUAAAUAACUAUACCAUACAGAAGUUGAACACUGGCAAGCAAGGUUCACUCUGUACAUGCCCAUGCUCUAGGCUCAUAUUUUCUAAUUAUAUAUAUAUAUAUUUGCACGAUACCUCAUAAACUUCUGUCCCACCUCUAGGCCCUUUCUUAACUCCCUUUCGACCCCCGGUCUUUAUCCACCCACUGCACUGCAUCCAUGGACCCGGGAGAAACAAUAUCGACCACUUUGGGAAACCCUGAAUAAACAAAGGAUUUGGUCUAUAUUGAGUCCAGGAUCGCUAGAAUAAAGCGUUCAUGUUCAGAGGCAGUGUACCCCAGAACACCAAGUGAGCAAACAGCGGGGGAGGCCUUCCCACGCUCUGCUUAUGAGCUUCCAGGGACAUCUAGGCUGUCCGCCGUUGGAAACAGGAUGUCGGGCUAGGUCGAUUUUUUUUUUUUUAAAUGUAAUCCAGCAGGGCUUCGUGUAUGCUCUCAGAAGAACGAAAGACCUCUGGAGACAUCUUCAAGCGCUCCCACCGGGGUUAGCAGAGCAGAUGUAAGAGCAGGACUGGGGGGUGGGGGGCGGAGGCCGGGAAGCUUGUUUGGCUAGACGCGGGGCCUGACCUGUGAACUCAAAGCUGCGAUCUCUCCUCCCAGGCUGAGCCGGGUGGUAAUAAAAGCGCCAGGGAGACAAGGAAGAGGCCUCCUUCGCCCCGGGGCCAUCCUCACACUGCAGGCUGGCUGCAUUUUUGCAGGCGCUCGCUCCCUGCAACUUGCAGGCAAAGCGAGAACUUCAUUUCAUAUUCCAUCAAUAUUUACAAGGCUCGAUUGAAUUUCCCCCUGACAAAGUUCACACCAAGCAGGCGCGCGGCUAAGAUGAAAUAUUAAUAGCCAAGGAGGCGCCUUAUGAAAUGGCUGGUUAUGUUGUUGCGCUUAAAAAUAAAAAAAUAAAAAAUAAAAUAAAAUAAAAUAAAAUAAAAUAAAAUAAAAUAAAAUAAAAUAAAAGCAACAACACAUUUCUUCUGCAUCCUACUCUCCUGCGCUCCCUUCAUUCUUCUCUUGCCCUGGAGACCUUCGCGGCUUAGAUUUGUGAAUUCUGAAAAAGAGAAUGCGAUGGUUUGUAACCCGAGCGAGAGAAUAGUUUCGCACGUGCCUGUCAUCCAGCUCUCGACUUCUCUGCACGCGGCUGCGUAAGCGGCAGCUGAAGGUGUGAACAGGCUCUGUUGUAAAGUCCAGCGCCCACCGGGGCAGUUAGGUUGCGCUUAGUGCAGGGACUGGCGAAAGACGUGGGCCCCUUCAGACGUUUCAGGCAGGACUCCAACUCCCAUCAGCCCCAGCCAGCGUCCAUGGACAUUGCUUAGGGGCGCCGGAGUCCAACAAGACCGGCAGAACUACCGUUCCCCUUUUAUUCCGGGCUUCUUUCCCUUACACCUUGCCAGCCACCCUUUUAUUUCAGGAAGUAAUGUUAGUCCUUCGGUGACAUAAGAAUGUGGUUCUGCAGCCGUGAAGCGUUAGGGGACCCUCCCAUUUGUUCUGCUGGAUGGGGCCCCGGACUUCUGCCCUAAAGUCUUACUCUGGCUGCACCACUAGGAAGGGCCACAGGAAAGCUGAUACAGUGGUACCUCAGGUUAAGUACUUAAUUCGUUCCAGAGGUCCGUUCUUAACCUGAAACUGUUCUUAACCUGAAGCACCACUUUAGCUAAUGGGGCCUCCUGCUCCCGCCGCGCCACCACCGUGCGAUUUCUGUUCUUAUCCUGAAGCAAAGUUCUUAACCCGAGGUACUACUUCUGGGUUAGCGGAGUCUGUAACCUGAAGCGUAUGUAACCUGAAGUGUAUGUAACCCGAGGUACCACUGUAUCUCUGGAAAGGACUCUCCCUCCCUCGUGGUCCAUCAUCACUUGAUGUUGCAGCUAUCGCGUGGAUUACAUGCGGAGGGGUCAAUCGCGUAUCGGCACACGUGGGAACGCAAAAACCACGGGACAGGGGUGCCAACUCGAAAAAAAUAUAUUUUUGCAUAAUCAAUCACAUGACGCACACUAUUUGAAUGGGAAUGCUUAUCAAUUUGUGGGGCCUGCCCCCCUCAAAUAUUUUGGCCCCUAAGAGUUGGCUCUUAUGCCACGGAAUCAUGAAUUCCUCCAUGCACUCCGCGGUGAAGCGAGCUAUUACCCUCCCGGGGGAAACAAUCAUACUUCCAUUAAGGUGGGAUCCUGCCCUUAGGAGUCCUUAUCUGUGCCCCGCGCAAACCCAGCCCCGCGCAAAAGGCAUUAAAUCCAAGAAAACAUCUCCUAGAAUAAAGAAUAACGUGGCCUGAUCCGCUGCAUUUUGCCAUGGGGCGGGGAGGGGGGAGAGUAGGGCGUUUGCCCGAUGCCUCCUGCUCACAAAAUCUGAGCGUUAUCCAGGCCAAAACAAACAAGCAAACAACAAUUCAAGUGUUUUAAAACCCGACUGAUUUCAAAGGGAUUGUUUGGGUCGCGGCCGAGUCUCUCUCUUUGAAGUGAGCAGGUCUCUAACGCUUCUGCUAAACCUGCUGGCAGACCAUACUUCCAGUAGCCUCUCUCGGAAGUAAACCGUGUUGCUUCCAGUGAGAUAAACUCCUAAGUAUGUGUGCCCAUAGAAAGGUCGCUGCGAGACUAAGGCGAGACCGUCCUAUGGACACACUUACUUUAGAGGAUAUGUCGCAGGAAUCAAUACUACUUACUUCCGAGCGAUGCUACAGGAGGAGGUUGGGGCCGCCUGCACGUUUAGCAGAAGCCAACAACCCAGAGGAGUAGAGGAGCUUUACGCGCAAGUAAGAGCGCAACACAUUUCAGCUGAAAUCCUCUUGAAGUGGGAAGAGCUUUCUGAGUAACCUGUGGGCAGGGCUGCGCCGCAAUGAGCUUCGCCACCCUCUUUCACAAACUCAUUCUUCGUCCCUCGGUCUUGGGACACCGCGAUAGAUAGAUAGAUAUAGAAAGAAUACAAAAAUAUAUGUAAUUUAUUUACAUGUUCGAGACAAAGAACCCCAGUAAAUACACUUUGAUCUUCCUCUGACAACAGAAAGCAGGUUGAUCAUUGUAGUUUUAGGGCAAAGGAUAAUAAAUGUAUUUUAAACUAGUAGACAAACACCGGAUCUUCACACGUGGCAAUUUCAAGAUCUCCGAACUGCCUGCAGCUCUGUUCUGUUUAUUGGCACCUUCGCGACGCAAGAAGCGCCUGCGACGUAUCUACCUGGAGCUGCCUACCUGAUUCGCCUUCUUAGAUGGGUUUAAAUUCUGAGGGUUUGGAUAUAUAUGCAGGUUUAUGAAAUAUAAUAAUAAUAAUAAUAAUAAUAAUAAUAAUAAUAAUACAGCUCUUCCUCUUCAGCAUCACAUAUUUCUGACGGUCUUGCAUAUGUUUCAGACAUGGCCUACUCUAAAGCAGCCGGAGUGAGCUGACGGUAGAUCUGAAUAUACUGGAAGAUCUCUGACGGAUCUCUAACAUAUCAGCAAAUAUAUCCGGCUUCCAGCAGCAACAAAAACGACUUUUUUUCUCCAUCUAAAUUGGCUGCUAAAAGGAAGAAAACUAGGGAAAAGACGAACUGGGAAAAGCGCUGUGGGAAAAAGAUCCACAGAAUGCUCAAAAGUCAGAAUGUGCUCGGAGACACCCUGUUCUUUCAUUCUGUUUCUAACUUUAUAUCUAACUUGGCUCAAUUGGUAGAUCUCGGGGUUUCUGAUAAAAUAAAUCAG